rnacentral:rRNA from 1 species
UACAGAGGGGGCCAGCGUUAUUCGGAAUUAUUGGGCGUAAAGGGCGCGUAGGCGGGCCAGCCAGUCUGUGGUGAAAGCCUCCAGCUUAACUGGAGAAGUGCCGUGGAUACUGCUGGCCUCGAGGAGGAUAGGGGCGUCUGGAACGGUCGGUGGAGCGGUGAAAUGCGUUGAUAUCGACCGGAACUCCGGUGGCGAAGGCGGCAUCCUGGACCGAUAUUGACGCUGAGGAGCGAAAGCCAGGGGAGCAAACGGG